rnacentral:rRNA from 1 species
UACGUAGGGUGCGAGCGUUGUCCGGAAUUAUUGGGCGUAAAGGGCUCGUAGGCGGUUUGUCGCGUCGGGAGUGAAAACAUCCAGCUUAACUGGGUGCUUGCUUUCGAUACGGGCAGACUAGAGGUAUGCAGGGGAGAACGGAAUUCCUGGUGUAGCGGUGAAAUGCGCAGAUAUCAGGAGGAACACCUACGGCGAAGGCGGGUCUCUGGGCAGUAACUGACGCUGAGGAGCGAAAGCGUGGGGAGCAAACAGG